UUGACGCUGGCGGCAGGNCNACACAUGCAAGUCGAGCGGAUGAUACCNAGCUUGCUCNCUGAUUCAGCGGCGGACGGGUGAGUAAUGCCUAGGAAUCUGCCUGGUAGUGGGGGACAACGUNUCGAAAGGAACGCUAAUACCGCAUACGUCCUACGGGAGAAAGCAGGGGACCUUCGGGCCUUGCGCUAUCAGAUGAGCCUAGGUCGGAUUAGCUAGUUGGUGAGGUAAUGGCUCACCAAGGCUGCGAUCCGUAACUGGUCUGAGAGGAUGAUCAGUCACACUGGAACUGAGACACGGUCCAGACUCCUACGGGAGGCAGCAGUGGGGAAUAUUGGACAAUGGGCGAAAGCCUGAUCCAGCCAUGCCGCGUGUGUGAAGAAGGUCUUCGGAUUGUAAAGCACUUUAAGUUGGGAGGAAGGGCAGUAAGUUAAUACCUUGCUGUUUUGACGUUACCGACAGAAUAAGCACCGGCUAACUUCGUGCCAGCAGCCGCGGUAAUACGAAGGGUGCAAGCGUUAAUCGGAAUUACUGGGCGUAAAGCGCGCGUAGGUGGUUUGUUAAGUUGGAAGUGAAAGCCCCGGGCUCAACCUGGGAACUGCUUUCAAAACUGGCAAGCUAGAGUAUGGCAGAGGGUGGUGGAAUUUCCUGUGUAGCGGUGAAAUGCGUAGAUAUAGGAAGGAACACCAGUGGCGAAGGCGACCACCUGGGCUAAUACUGACACUGANGUGCGAAAGCGUGGGGAGCAAACAGGAUUAGAUACCUGGUAGUCCCGCCGUAACGAUGUCGACUAGCCGUUGGGCUCCUUGAAACUANUGGCNCACUACGCAUUAGUCNACNCCUGGGGAUACGCCNCAGGUUAAACUCAAUGAAUNACGGGGCCCCCCAGCGGGGACNNGGNUUAUUCAACACCGAAAACUNCAGNCUGCUGCAAANUUCNAAUGAUGGGCUCGANUUGACAGGCUCUGGUUCNNCNGGNNGAUUGGUANCCUACAGCNCCUNCUUUCCCGUAGGNCUAGACCGGNACNGAAGGGGNNCAUUGCUCNCGUCCUAAGNNAGUCCCNNGANCA
rnacentral:rRNA from 1 species